UUUAAAAGGGUGUCAUUGGAGAUACAUUUUCGAAAACUGUUGCGUUUUUUACAAAAUCUAAACAGACAUUCCUUCACUUUUAUUCUCUUAAAAACAACUUUUUUCAAACAAACUCCUCUGUGCCGAGUUGCAUUCAAAAGAUUCUUGCUCUACAACUCGUUCCAAGCAUUAAUAAGCAUUCAAAGCCUCAUUCAACAUCAACUCAAAGCUUCAACAAAUCGAAAAUAGCAUGCAACCAGGCACCGGUCGCUCGACUUAGAUAGGAUAGGGAGACAUAGACAGCCUCAUCUUGUCGCGAGAGAGCUGCACAGCAAGCAGUGACUCGGGGACGGGAUCGAGUCAGAGUACCAGUCCAAAUGGAUGACGCGCUUGCAGGAUCUUCAUCUGCAUCGAGAAGUCGAUUGUCUCGGGCGUCUUCCUCUCGUGAGGAGGAGGUACGUGAGAAUGAGGAGGAGGAGGUACCCGAUGUUCACCCUGAGUACGGCGAGGAUGACGCGGAGAAGGAGGGCUACCCAGGAGGGCCUGCUGACACAUAUGUGUUGAUUUACUAUCAUGACCAUGUCGCUCGACGAGUUUGGGAGGCGAGGAACGGACGACCAUAAAAUUCGUGAAUCAUGCGCGGAAAAUAUUUGAUAUGUUUAAACCACAUGCUCAGUGGUUUAAUGACGUUGUAGCUGAGAGCGAGCUUGGCGGGAUAUGCAUGACCAGAUAUAGUACCAUCAGCCACGACAUGCAGGGGGCAUUUGCUGAAAGGUGGCACAAGGAGACUUCGCCUUUCCACCUUUUGUUGGGGAGUUGACGAUCACCCUACAUGACGUGGCAUGUCUUCUCCACCUGCCGAUCAGAGGGAGGUUACUAGACCAUUCUCGGAUAUAGAGGGUUGAGACCAUAGAGUGGAUGGUGGAUUAUCUGGGUAUGGACCCAAAUAUGGUAGAUUAUGAGUGCAGAGCGACGAGUGGGGCGCAUAUCCGGUUCUCUAGCUUGAAAGAGAUUUAUGAGAACCACUUGGUGGCGGCAGUGAGGUCCGAGGAGGAGGGUGACGGGAUUUUGUUGAGUAUCACCGUCGUUGUGCUUUGCGGUGUUGGUUCAUGUUUUUGGUAGGCACUGCACUCUUUGUGGACAAAAGUGCAACCUACGUGGACAUGACUUAUCUCUGGUAUUUUAUUCAUCUCACUACAGUUCACGAGUGGAACUGGGGGCCGCCAUUUUGGUAUACCUAUACCAGAAGCUGAAUGAUGCCUCCAACUAGAGGACCAGACAGUUGACUGGAUUUUGCACACUCCUUACGGUACAUUUCUAUUUAAUUAUGUCACAUUUAAUUAUAUCAUAUUUCUAUUUAACAUAUUAUCAUAUUUGGGUUUCGGGGUUGGAUCAUCUCUUAUUUCCACCGCAUCCACGGCUACGAUCUUGAUCCCGCUUACAUUGAUGUCAUGCCCAGUGCUACACGAUAUGUCCUCUAGAGGGGAAAUCAGAAAGUGGGGUCAUAUCAUGUAUACCUCAAUCGUACUGCUCACGAUGACAUCCAAUGAACGCCCUUCGUUGAUUAAGCUAAUGUUGUCUCAUUCAACCGCAUCGCAUUGUAUUUUGGAUGGUUGGCAUGUGGGGCCAACACCAUGUUAGGUAUCUGCCGGAGCGGUGCAUGAGACGGUUUUGACGUGUGCAGAUGAUACCGAGGUCUCCGUUUGAGGUUGCUCUAGACAGUGUUACCUGCCGGGAGCUCACUACUAUCUUUGAGGAUUGGGCGCAUCAUCUAGUCCCAAAGGAGUAUCAGCGUACGCGGGCCACCCAGAGUUGGCACUGUGUAGAUGGGUAUAUGACAUGGUUCUAUCAGGUGUCACAUCCUAACAUGACACCCGAUGCUCCUGGGCGUCCACCUAGGUCAACACAUGAGGAGCUCUUGGAGAACCAGUAGGCCAAGGAUGACCAUGUCACUGAUCUCUUGUCGAUUUGUCAGCGGAUACACUCGAUAGGGCAGGAGGCAUUAUAGAGAGGGAUCAUUGAGCAAUGCGGUUGCCAAAGUGCAGAGGAUGGUCGGUGAGGCGUCCAGUGCGGUGGGGUAUAGGAGGUAGAGGCGGCUGCAGGUAGUUCGUAUUAGGUAUACUCAGUAGUAGCUGCCUAUUUAUGUUUUAUUUCUGACUUUUUAU